UAAGUGAUGAGAUUUAUUUCAUGUGUUUCAGAUGAUUACAUCCUGAUUAUAACCUAUGACGAAAAUUGACUGAUU
rfam:Dictyostelium discoideum AX4 chromosome 5, whole genome shotgun sequence.